AGGGAAUCUUCCGCAAUGGACGCAAGUCUGACGGAGCAACGCCGCGUGAGCGAUGAAGGUCUUCGGAUCGUAAAGCUCUGUUGUCAGGGAAGAACAAGUACGAGAGUAACUGCUCGUACCUUGACGGUACCUGACCAGAAAGCCACGGCUAACUACGUGCCAGCAGCCGCGGUAAUACGUAGGUGGCAAGCGUUGUCCGGAAUUAUUGGGCGUAAAGGGCGCGCAGGCGGUCUCUUAAGUCUGAUGUGAAAGCCCACGGCUUAACCGUGGAGGGUCAUUGGAAACUGGGGGACUUGAGUGCAGAAGAGAAGAGUGGAAUUCCAUGUGUAGCGGUGAAAUGCGUAGAGAUAUGGAGGAACACCAGUGGCGAAGGCGACUCUUUGGUCUGUAACUGACGCUGAGGCGCGAAAGCGUGGGGAGCGAAC
rnacentral:rRNA from 1 species